GGCCGCGCCCACGGCCCGGUGUCCGCCCUGCCCGCUCCGGGACGGUGAGCGCCCCGGGGAACUUUAGAUAAACUGAGGGUUACUGAGAGGUUGAAAACAGCGUGACUGUUGUCAGGGAGAAACAGACACCAUUGAGCAAAGUAACUGGGGAUGUCUUUGGGCUGACUACUACAAAGAAGGAUGUCACAAUCAGAGGCCUCAAACCUGACUUCUUGGCAACUGCUGGUAAAAAGUACUGCACAGAACUAGGUGCUCAUCUAAUUAACAUGGAAUAUGACAUCUGACUUCAUGAAAUCUACUGGUGAAAAGUAGUAUGCAAAACUAGAUAUACAUUUUCCUGUUGGCGAACAGUCCUUAGCAAGAACUAAAUAACAAAACUCCUCCUCUGGGAAGCAUGUAAUCUGUGGAGGGCUUCAUUUGGGAGAUGCUUGGAUUAAAAAUGUGCUUAAGUGAUGUAGGCACCAAGGAACCAGAUUUUAGUCCAGGAUUUGUGAUGACAGCUUAAGGCCAUUAAGCAAGACUCCUUUUGCAUUUUAUUUUUGCUGACUCAAAUGAACUGUCAUCAGGAGGCACAAGGAAGCACAAACACUCAGAAACUCUGUGAACAGAGCUGUGCCUGGAUGGGUGUUUGUGUCGCUAUCAACUUCCACAAGAGCUGUACUGCUGUGGUGGCCUCCAGGAGAGAGCUGAGAGCAACAGUGUGACUUGGUGGUGAGGAACUCAGAUCUAAACUGCUUUGAGUGUAUUUCAUCAAAGUGAUUAAACAGAGAGGGAAGGCUCUUAGAUUUAGUUAUUUAGAGCUUUAGGGAAGACAGUGGUUUUAGUAAGGCUUUAUACCAAAAUAUACUUUAGAAAGCUUCUAUUUUACUGGUAUAUUUUGUUAUCACUUGCUGUAGCAUAAAGAAAGUUUGGUUUGUUUUAAUCUGACUUUUUCUUUGUUGUAUCAUAAGAGCUUUGUGGCAGCUCAGACAAUCAUGUAAAUAAUAUCCAGCAGAGUUUAAAUCAAACCUUCUUCAGAUAAAGUUUCAUGUUCACUUAGCUGAUAUCCAAAUGACAGACAUCCUUUCAGCUGAAUGGAGGCAUAAAUAACAGAAAAGGGCAAGGAAGGAUUUUAAUGCUGAAUAACAACUUCCUCUAAAUUAUAGUCUAUGUUAACCUUAUAAUAAUCCUUAGUAUGAAUGUUGUCGCCUUUUCUUAUUUUAUUCAGAAUUUUGUUAUGUUGGUGUUCUUUCUAAAUCCUUAACUCUCAGAGUCAGGGAUUCAUCUGGGACUCUCAAAUAUUUUUGUUUGUUUUAAAUUCAUCUUUCAGAAAUGCAGGAUAAUCUAGAAAACAGAACUACCUUAGAGGUUGAAAAACCCCCUUGCCUGUCACAAAAUGUUCUGGUAUCUCCCAUAGCUCCCAAAAGCUCUAGAGGCCCCACACAGCCCUUUUUCAUCCUUUCUUCCCCUGUCCCCAAACCCACUGACUCUUCAGUCUUCCUUUCAUCCCUGCUUCAGAUCUCCCAGUCCCUUCUCAGCUGCUGAGCCUGGCCUCCCAAAACCCUCAUAUUAACUUCAAGACUCCCUACUAGCUUUCCCUCUGCAACCUUUAUGCAAUGCUUACAGAUUUUUUUUUAAUCUCAGCCUAGUCCUAUUCUGGCAGCUCCCAUAAAAUAAAUAUAAUUUUAUUUAAUAUAGAAAUAGGGCAGUAAAAGCUACUUUUGGCUCUAAUAUUUAUUGAAGUCUCAAGCUGGUCAACAUCCAGUUGUCUACUAAGGGACUUAGUGUACAGUCAGGUAUGGGGAUGUAUUUCACACAUAACUGUUUCACACUGGCCUCCCUAUGUAAACAAGUACUUAGGUCUACUGAGCCAAACAUUUCUUUACCUUAUGAGCACAUAUAGGCAGUAGUUGAGUCUCAUAUUAAUAGCACAGCAUGUGUAUGUCAAUAUUGAAAUGAUCUGAGAUCUUCAGGGUGAAAGGUAUUUAUGCCAAAGACAGCAUUAUGUUUUGGUAUCCAUGCUCAGCAUGGCUACAACUAAAACAACAGUAGUACUCAAUCACUGCUAGAUUUCUCAAAAGAAUAAGAAAUAAUUGUUGUCCUGGUCAUAAAACCUUGCUUUUUUCUUUGAAAGAUCGAGGAUUAAAUAGCUUCUAUAAUUUUCAUGUAAAAUAUUUAAUACCACAUAAUCUGUAGCUGGCUCAAUUU